rnacentral:misc_RNA from 1 species
AUUGGGUGUGAUACAGGUUCC